CGAGAGAAGAGGAACUUCCAAAAUAGUGAAUGGCUUGGAUCCUAGUGACAGUCGGCAUUAAAAGCUACUGGAUGGAAGCUGCUGGAAACUCGCUUCUGCAUGAGUCCACUAAGGUGAGAAGAGGCUGCUAGGUCACCUGGAGCUGGGGUCACAGGCAGUUAUGAGUAACCUGAUUUGGCAUUGAGCCUGGAACUCACUCAGGUCCUCUGGAAGAGCCUUUGACCAUUGAGCCACCUCAACCCCAGGAGGGGAAGACCUGGUGUAUACUCAGGACCUAGAAUGACCAAGAAUGUGGAACCUUAAAGAAAGAAAACCAAGCCAUUGGCAAAAAGCUGAUGAAGAACCAAGCUGCCUCUGUGUUAAACUUAAAGGCCAUCUAAUAGUAAAGGUAAAGGAGGUUCCUUCCUGUUUAUGAUUAAGCCUCUGUUUCUGAAGGAUUAGGCUAGGCCCCACCCGUAACUCUAACUACAAAUACUCCAGGAAUGACGAUCAUGCCUUUGUUUCAUGAAGUUGUUGAUAACCAUCUUGCAGCCCUGCCCUUGUUUCCAAGGGUUAUAUGACCUCCUCUGACUACUCUUUUAUGGCUACCUGUUGUUAUGACUACCUUGUCUGCCCUCCAAUCAUGUUCUUGUUUCAGGAGGGACAAGCUUGUUAUCCUUAUGUUCGGCUCCUGUAACCCCGCCUAUUUUGACUGCCAAAUCUUCCAUUUCCUAUCCUUGAGCAAUAAAUAAAAGUCUUGUGUUCCUCACGUCCAAUUCUGACCUCUGGAACCCUGCCUUAGGGGGAGGCAGCCCAUGUACAGGAAUAAAAAGCUUGCUUUAGUUAAUUUGGUCAUGAUGAUUUGGGUCUGUGGUCUUUCUCCUUCCAUCUUUGAGAUUAAUACUGGAUCCACCAAGAAGUUGGUAAAGAAGUCCUCCAGUCAGUGUCUAAGUUAGUAAAAGAGCAGGUGAGUAUGGGGAAAGAAAGUACAAAUAAAACUGAACCUGUAAGCCUAAGGGCAAAUAUUGUGGGGAAUAUUAAAAAAGAAUAUGACAGGCUUCCUGUGCUACUGCCAGCAACUUUCUGCCCCGUGGGCUGGCCAGCUAUGCACUCUGACUUGAGAGCUCCAAAAUCUCUCCUCCUCCUGCUGCCUCCACAGCUAGCCCCAUGCAGUGACCGCCCAGCUCGCAGUUAGAUAGCACAAUGCCCAGUAAAACCAAAACUCUUGAAGCUUAUAAUUAACCAGUCAGAUUUAUAUAUCAAUAAAUUCUCAGUUCACAAGAUGCCCUCAUAAUAAUUUCAGGGGUAAUUGAUAAAGAUACAAGCUGCCCAACUAGAUUUAGACAAGUUAUCCCAAUUAUUCUAUCCCUGCAUGAUAUUCAUAACUACCUGUGGCUGAUGUCCUUAAAGCAAAACCAGCUGGCUGUAGUGGCACUAGAGAGGA